GAUGAACGCUGGCGGCGUGCCUAAUACAUGCAAGUCGAGCGAACAGACGAGGAGCUUGCUCCUUUGACGUUAGCGGCGGACGGGUGAGUAACACGUGGAUAACCUACCUAUAAGACUGGGAUAACUUCGGGAAACCGGAGCUAAUACCGGAUAACAUGUUGAACCGCAUGGUUCAACAGUGAAAGACGGUCUUGCUGUCACUUAUAGAUGGAUCCGCGCCGCAUUAGCUAGUUGGUAAGGUAACGGCUUACCAAGGCAACGAUGCGUAGCCGACCUGAGAGGGUGAUCGGCCACACUGGAACUGAGACACGGUCCAGACUCCUACGGGAGGCAGCAGUAGGGAAUCUUCCGCAAUGGGCGAAAGCCUGACGGAGCAGCGCCGCGUGAGUGAAGAAGGUCUUCGGAUCGUAAAACUCUGUUAUUAGGGAAGAACAAAUGUGUAAGUAACUAUGCACGUCUUGACGGUACCUAAUCAGAAAGCCACGGCUAACUACGUG
rnacentral:rRNA from 1 species